rnacentral:rRNA from 1 species
UACAGAGGGUGCGAGCGUUGUCCGGAAUUACUGGGCGUAAAGGGCGCGUAGGCGGUUCGGUAAGUAGGAGGUGAAAUUUCGGGGCUCAACCCCGAAACUGCCUUCUAAACUGCCGAACUGGAGCACGGUAGAGGCAGAUGGAAUUCCCGGUGUAGCGGUGGAAUGCGUAGAGAUCGGGAAGAACACCAGUGGCGAAGGCGGUCUGCUGGGCCGUUGCUGACGCUGAGGCGCGACAGCGUGGGGAGCAAACAGG